UACGUAGGGUGCAGGCGUUAUUCGGAAUUACUGGGCGUAAAGCGCGCGUAGGCGGCUUUGCAAGUCGGGUGUGAAAUCCCCAGGCUUAACCUGGGAACUGCAUUCGAGACUGCAUUGCUAGAGUAUGGGAGAGGGAAGUGGAAUUUCCGGUGUAGCGGUGAAAUGCGUAGAUAUCGGAAGGAACAUCAGUGGCGAAAGCGACUUCCUGGACCAAUACUGACGCUCAUGUGCGAAAGCGUGGGGAGCAAACAGG
rnacentral:rRNA from 1 species